rnacentral:rRNA from 1 species
AGAGUUUGAUCAUGGCUCAGGAUGAACGCUAGCGGCAGGCUUAAUACAUGCAAGUCGAGGGGCAGCACAGAUAGCAAUAUUGGGUGGCGACCGGCAAACGGGUGCGGAACACGUACAGAACCUUCCUUCGAGCGGGGAAUAGCCCGAAGAAAUUCGGAUUAAUACCCCAUAGUAAAUUGAAAAGGCAUCUUUUUAAUUUUAAAGAUUUAUCACUUGAAGAUGGCUGUGCGCCUGAUUAGGUAGUUGGCGGGGUAAUGGCCCACCAAGCCUUCGAUCAAUAACUGGCGUGAGAGCGCGACCAGUCACACGGGCACUGAGACACGGGCCCGACUCCUACGGGAGGCAGCAGUAAGGAAUAUUGGUCAAUGGACGCAAGUCUGAACCAGCCAUGCCGCGUGGAGGAUGAAGGUCCUCUGGAUUGUAAACUUCUUUUAUUUGGGACGAAAAAAGAUCAUUCUUGAUCACUUGACGGUACCAAAUGAAUAAGCACCGGCUAACUCCGUGCCAGCAGCCGCGGUAAUACGGAGGGUGCAAGCGUUAUCCGGAUUUACUGGGUUUAAAGGGUGCGCAGGCGGAUAUGUAAGUCAGUGGUGAAAUCUUUGGGCUUAACCCGAAAAUUGCCAUUGAUACUAUAUAUCUUGAAUGCUGUGGAGGUAAGCGGAAUAUGUCAUGUAGCGGUGAAAUGCUUAGAUAUGACAUAGAACAUCUAUUGCGAAGGCAGCUUACUACGCAGAUAUUGACGCUCAUGCACGAAAGCGUGGGGAUCAAACAGGAUUAGAUACCCUAGUAGUCC